rnacentral:rRNA from 1 species
AGAGUUUGAUCCUGGCUCAGAAUCAACGCUGGCGGCGUGUCUAACACAUGCAAGUCGAACGAGAAAGUGGAGCAAUCCAUGAGUACAGUGGCGACCGGGUGAGUAACACGUGACUAACCUACCUCCGAGUGGGGAAUAACUCCGGGAAACCGGAGCUAAUACCGCAUAACAUCGCAAGAUCAAAGCAGCAAUGCGCUUGGAGAGGGGGUCGCGGCUGAUUAGCUAGUUGGUAGGGUAACGGCCUACCAAGGCGAAGAUCGGUAUCCGGCCUGAGAGGGCGCACGGACACACUGGAACUGAAACACGGUCCAGGCUCCUACGGGAGGCAGCAGUGGGGAAUUUUGCGCAAUGGGGGAAACCCUGACGCAGCAACGCCGCGUGGAGGAUGAAGUCCCUUGGGAUGUAAACUCCUUUCGACCCGGACGAUACUGACGGUACGGGUGGAAGAAGCACCGGCUAACUCUGUGCCAGCCGCCGCGGUAAUAC